rnacentral:lncRNA from 1 species
AUUCUCUCCAUAGAAACUUAAAUCCUCAGGGUGAUACAACUCAGUCCUUCUACUGCAGCAGCUCUUUUAUAAAUGCCUCCCAAAGCUCCAAGAAGGAACAAAGAAUGUGACCAGUAAGCUCACACCAUGAGUCUAUAUUGCAGAAUAUAGACUUUGUUCAACAAAACUGCAGAUGCUCUGUUGAAUCCACUGGAGAUUGUCCUGAUACUAAGGACAAGUAUCUGCUCCUAUCAGUGACAAAUCAGCGUAUUAGAACAUGUAUGCUGGCUGAUCAUUCUGAUCAAGUCAACAAGCUUCACAACUUACUCAAUGAGGUCGUCCGUGAGAACUUCACUGUUUUACCAGGACAGGAGCUACUUCUUUGCUGAACUGCAUCACGGUUUCAACUGCUGAGGUUUUCUUCAAGCUUUUGCAUUGUUUGGAAUGUGAAAGGCACGGCUGAGACACACUUCGGCAUUCCCACUGCAUUGUUA